GAAAUGCGAUAAUUAAUGUGAAUUGCAGAAUUCCGUGAAUCAUCGAGUCUUUGAACGCAUAUUGCGCCCCAUGGUAUUCCGUGGGGCAUGCCCGUCUCAGCGUCAGCAAGACCCAUCAAGCUCGGCUUUUUUUGGUUGAGCUUGGAUUGCGUCAGGGAAGCAGACGAGACAGCUCAGCUUGCUUGCUCCUUGGAAAGCCAUAGACGGUCGGGUUGUAGCCUCAAUCCAAUGUGAUAAGAAUCUUUUAUUUUAUUCAUUGGUUUGGAGACAACCUGAUCACAUGUCAAUUGGAACCCACGCUUUCAAGUGCUUUGAAACAGGACUUGACCUGAGAUCGAGUAGGGAUACCCGCUGAACUUAA
rnacentral:misc_RNA from 1 species